CAGAAAAUUCAAACACUCUUUUUCGGGGAGGAAAGUCGGGACAACACAGAGCGCCGUACUUCUUAGCAGGAAGGUGUUCGUUGGGAGACUGACGGAUAACAGCAAGUGCCACAGAAAAUAACCACCACGCAUAAGUGUAUGGAAAGGGUGAAAACGUGAGGUAAGAGCUUACGUCCCGAUGUGGUAACAUGCCGGGAGGGUAAACCUUACGGGUUGAAAGACCAAAUAUACCAGGGUUUGUCUGUUUUGGCAGGCAUAAAGGGCUGCUCGUCCGAGCCUGGGGGGUUGGUCGUUAGAUGCCGGUGGUGACAUCGGUGCGAGAUAAAUGAUAGAUUAAAACAGAAUCCCGCUUACUGAACUGUUAU
rnacentral:RNase_P_RNA from 2 species